GAUGAACGCUGGCGGCGUGCCUAACACAUGCAAGUCGAGCGAUUUACUUCGGUAAAGAGCGGCGGACGGGUGAGUAACGCGUGGGUAACCUGCCCUGUACACACGGAUAACAUACCGAAAGGUAUGCUAAUACGAGAUAAUAUGCUUUUAUCGCAUGGUAGAAGUAUCAAAGCUUUUGCGGUACAGGAUGGACCCGCGUCUGAUUAGCUAGUUGGUAAGGUAACGGCUUACCAAGGCGACGAUCAGUAGCCGACCUGAGAGGGUGAUCGGCCCAAUUGGAACUGAGACACGUUCCACACUCCGACGGGAGGCAGCAGUGGGUAAUAUUGCACAAUGGGCGAAAGCCUGAUGCAGCAACUCCGCGUGAGCUAUGAAGGCCUUCGGGACGUAAAGCUCUGUCCUCAAUGAAGAUAAUGACGGUACUUGAGGAGGAAGCCCCGGCUAACUACGUGCCAGCAGCCGCCGUAA
rnacentral:rRNA from 1 species